GGUGGAUAACGUGUAGUCAGAUGGUGGAUAACGUGUGGUCAGGUGGUGGAUAACGUGUAGUCAGGUGGUGGAUAACGUGUAGUCAGAUGGUGGAUAACGUGUGGUCAGGUGGUGGAUAACGUGUAGUCAGGUGGUGGAUAACGUGUAGUCAGGUGGUGGAUAACGUGUAGUCAGAUGGUGGAUAACGUGUGGUCAGGUGGUGGAUAACGUGUAGUCAGGUGGUGGAUAACGUGUAGUCAGGUGGUGGAUAACGUGUAGUCAGGUGGUGGAUAACGUGUGGUCAGGUGGUGGUUAACGUGUGGUCAGGUGGUGGAUAACGUGUAGUCAGGUGGUGGAUAACGUGUAGUCAGGUGGUGGUUAACGUGUAGUCAGGUGGUG